ACGGGUGAGUAACGCGUGGGAACAUGCCCUUUGGUUUGGAAUAACUCAGGGAAACUUGAGCUAAUACCGGAUAAGCCCCGCAAGGGGGAAAGAUUUAUCGCCGAAGGAUUGGCCCGCGUCCGAUUAGCUAGUUGGUGUGGUAAUGGCGCACCAAGGCGACGAUCGGUAGCUGGUCUGAGAGGAUGAUCAGCCACACUGGGACUGAGACACGGCCCAGACUCCUACGGGAGGCAGCAGUGGGGAAUAUUGGACAAUGGGCGCAAGCCUGAUCCAGCCAUGCCGCGUGAGUGAUGAAGGCCCUAGGGUUGUAAAGCUCUUUCGGCGGGGACGAUAAUGACGGUACCCGCAGAAGAAGCCCCGGCUAACUUCGUGCCAGCAGCCGCGGUAAUACGAAGGGGGCUAGCGUUGCUCGGAAUCACUGGGCGUAAAGCGCACGUAGGCGGAUCUUUAAGUCAGGGGUGAAAUCCCAAGGCUCAACCUUGGAACUGCCUUUGAUACUGGGGAUCUCGAGUCCGGAAGAGGUUGGUGGAACUGCGAGU
rnacentral:rRNA from 1 species